rnacentral:rRNA from 1 species
AUGACUUGCUUCCCAUGGCCAAAGAAGUCCAUCAAUAAGCUGGAGGGUUUGCUGCGCGCCUUCUUCUGGCAAGGGAAGAGCAAAACCUCGGGCGGCCACUGUCUUGUGGCUUGGGACAGAGUUAUCCAGCCACGAUGUGCGGGUGGCCUGGGAGUCAGGGAUCUAUCAGCUCACAAGCAAGCUAUGAUGUGUAAAUUUGUGGCCAAAGUUCUUCAGUUUUCAGACAUACCCUGCUAUCAAUGGCUGGCUUCGCAAUACUGUAGAAAUAACCUACCCAGUGGCAACAGCUCGCGCGACACAGCUUUCUGGAGAGGUCUCAAAACGUACAUUCCGCUGGUCUUGUUUUCCUCUAGCUGCUCGCUUGGCUCCGGGGCUCUCGUUUCCUUUUGGCAAGAUCAGUGGCUCGAGGUUGGAAGGCUGAUGUUUGUGCUGCCAGUUUUAUACUCUUUUGCCAAGGAUAAGCUAUGUUCAAUCCAGUCGCAAAUAACUCAGGACGGUUGGGAUAUACAGCUGCACCCAAAUCUCUCGCACACAGCGACACAAGAGUUGCAGGUCUUGCUUGACCUCAUCGCAAAUGUCACUCCGACCGACGCCAAUGUUGAUCACCGGGUCUCUUCUCUCUUUAGGAAGGAGCUUGCUACAGGGUAUUUCUACAAGAUGCUCACCUUCCGGGGAAUGCGGUGUGCUUUUGAGCAGUGGAUUUGGGAGAAGAUCAUUCCUAACAAGCACAAGGUUUUUCUUUGGCUGGCUUUUUAUGGGCGCUUAAACACAAGGGACAACAUGUUCAAAAAAGGCUGGUCUGCGCUUGUCUCCAAUGCUGAUUGUGAUAUCUGCCCUACUGUGGAGUCCAUUGAUCAUGUCGUACUAUGGUGUCGGUCUGCCGAACAUCUCUGGGGCAAGCUGCAGUUGAACUCGUUGGCUUGUGCUUCACCUGAUCUUCUCUCUUUCUUCGAGCGCGUUUCCCAGCAGCCAAUUCUCAAGAGGAAAUGGAAUGUCGCUCUUGCAGCAUGCGUCGUCACUCUAUGGCAUGCUCGGAAUGAUCGUGUUUUUAACAGUGCUUCUUGGUCUGACCCAUACACAAGGUUCUAUGCUGCGGACUUGCUUCGCCUUUGGCUGCACAGAGCUAAGCGGCAACAGGACAAGGACGAUUUGAAGACUUGGGCGCUUUGUUUGUCCAACUAA